GACCAGAGGAGGGCACAGUCCUUCUUCCUCCACGUUGCUAAAAGCUGUAUACUGUAGACAGGGCACUGCAAAUGAAAAUAAGCAUCAGGAAUAGUCCCUGUGUAGGACUGUGGAGUAACCACAUGAGGUGCAGAGCAAGUGUUUGGAAAGUCAUGUCUGAGGACUGCAAAGAUUUGUGGGAUAACAGAUUCUCACUUUGCAUAUCCUGCCCAUGGGAAAUAUAGAGGCCAAGUCUACUGGUCACACAGCAUUUACAGAUGAAUGACCAACCUCCACUUACUGAGCUUUCUGGGUUCUAGAAGAAACAGAAUACUUUAGUCUUCUUCAAAUGGUAGAUCAAUCUUCUAACAGUAGGACAAUCCUUAUACAAUAUCAUUAGCAA